rnacentral:rRNA from 1 species
UACGUAGGGUGCAAGCGUUGUCCGGAAUUAUUGGGCGUAAAGAGCUCGUAGGCGGUCUGUCACGUCGGCUGUGAAAUCCCCGGGCUCAACCCGGGAACUGCGUCCGAUACUGGGGGGCUUGAAUCCGGGAGAGGGAUGUGGAAUUCCAGGUGUAGCGGUGAAAUGCGUAGAUAUCUGGAGGAACACCGGUGGCGAAGGCGGCAUCCUGGACCGGUAUUGACGCUGAGGCGCGAAAGCCAGGGGAGCAAACAGG